CCAGACUCACGUGAAACCAAGUAUUUGGAUUAUGCCAUUGUCUGAACCACCACCAUCAUUCAAGCACUAUAUAUGGAUUCAAGCCUGUCCUAGCCAUCACAGUACUACUUCUUCAUUGAGGCCAAUGUAUUUAUCAUUUUUGUCAGACACAUGAGAAAAACCAAGGUUGUUGUAAGGAUCAAGUGAGAUGAUAUUUGUAAAGAUGUUUGACGCAUACUUGGUGUUUGAGAACAAAUAGUUCUUCCUUUCCUUAUUACAAAUGGAGACAUUGAGCCAAGAGAUAUCGAAUAACUUAUCCAAGGUCACCUAUACAAUCAUGGCGGAUCCAAGAUUCAAACACAGAAUCACAAAGUGAGAACUGGAAGAGAGUGACGUUGUCAUCAAUUCUAAACUCCUUCAUUUUAGAGAUGAGAAAACUAAAGCUGGAAGAAGGUAAGUGAUUUGCCCAGCGCCACACAACUAAUACAUUUCUGAAAUAAGAUCUGAACUUCCCUCUUUCUAACUCCAAGUCAAGUCCUCUACCUUCGACACUCACUCACGCACCACCUCGCUUCUUUCUAACUUGCAUCCUUUUACUCCAAACUCAAAGAUCUUUCCGUUUCUCCUGCCGGAAAUCCUAGGUUGGAACCAAAGCUCAGAAACACCAAUAUGGGAAUGAAUAGGCGGGGCUAAAAGCAUAAUCAGAAAUCCUGGGCUUUUCCCCGGCUUGUUGCCUUACUG
rnacentral:lncRNA from 1 species